UACGUAGGGGGCAAGCGUUGUCCGGAAUUAUUGGGCGUAAAGCGCGCGCAGGCGGUCCAUUAAGUUGGGUGUUUAAGCCCGGGGCUCAACCCCGGUUCGCAUCCAAAACUGGUUGACUUGAGUGUAGGAGAGGAAAGUGGAAUUCCACGUGUAGCGGUGAAAUGCGUAGAGAUGUGGAGGAACACCAGUGGCGAAGGCGACUUUCUGGCCUAUAACUGACGCUGAGGCGCGAAAGCGUGGGGAGCAAACAGG
rnacentral:rRNA from 1 species